CGGAUCUUCAUUAGCUUGCUUUUGAAGAUCAGCGGCGGACGGGUGAGUAACACGUGGGCAACCUGCCUGUAAGACUGGGAUAACUUCGGGAAACCGGAGCUAAUACCGGAUAAUCCUUUCCCUCACAUGAGGGAAAGCUGAAAGACGGUUUCGGCUGUCACUUACAGAUGGGCCCGCGGCGCAUUAGCUAGUUGGUGAGGUAACGGCUCACCAAGGCAACGAUGCGUAGCCGACCUGAGAGGGUGAUCGGCCACACUGGGACUGAGACACGGCCCAGACUCCUACGGGAGGCAGCAGUAGGGAAUCUUCCGCAAUGGACGAAAGUCUGACGGAGCAACGCCGCGUGAGCGAUGAAGGCCUUCGGGUCGUAAAGCUCUGUUGUCAGGGAAGAACAAGUAUCGGAGUAACUGCCGGUACCUUGACGGUACCUGACCAGAAAGCCACGGCUAACUACGUGCCAGCAGCCGCGGUAAUACGUAGGUGGCAAGCGUUGUCCGGAAUUAUUGGGCGUAAAGCGCGCGCAGGCGGUUCCUUAAGUCUGAUGUGAAAGCCCCCGGCUCAACCGGGGAGGGUCAUUGGAAACUGGGGAACUUGAGUGCAGAAGAGGAGAGCGGAAUUCCACGUGUAGCGGUGAAAUGCGUAGAGAUGUGGAGGAACACCAGUGGCAAAUGCGGCUGUCUGGUCUGUAACUGUCGCUGACGCGCGAAAGCUUGCGGACCAAACAGGAUUAGAUACCCUGGUGUUCCACGCCGUAAACGAUGAGUGCUACGUGUUAGAGGGUUUCCGCCCUUUAGUGCUGCAGCAAACGCAUUAAGCACUCCGCCUGGGGAGUACGGCCGCAAGGCUGAAACUCAAAGGAAUUGACGGGGGCCCGCACAAGCGGUGGAGCAUGUGGUUUAAUUCGAAGCAACGCGAAGAACCUUACCAGGUCUUGACAUCCUCUGACAACCCUAGAGAUAGGGCUUUCCCCUUCGGGGGACAGAGUGACAGGUGGUGCAUGGUUGUCGUCAGCUCGUGUCGUGAGAUGUUGGGUUAAGUCCCGCAACGAGCGCAACCCUUGAUCUUAGUUGCCAGCAUUAAGUUGGGCACUCUAAGGUGA
rnacentral:rRNA from 1 species